GCCUUGGUCUCAUCUGAUUCUAACACCUCUUUCAUCUCUGGAGAGACUGACGCCCAGAGAGGUGACAGGAGUUACUCAAGGAGUCAGCUUCUGAGCCUGGAUAAGAGGCCAGGUGUUUCACUCCCUCCUUGGUGGUCUUUUUAUUUCAUCUUCUCCAGGCCAGAUGUUAACCCUCGGCACACACGGGUUCUAUGAAUGUUCAGGCAAACAAAGACAGAAAUAAAGGAAGAUAGACGGAACAAGGCAGAAAGAAUGACUUGGUUUGCUUAAACGUGAGUCUACAGCAAUACAACAGAGUAAAAGGCUUGCUUCCUGGCUCUUGGACCGGCCAUCCAUCGUGCUUGUGGCUUGUGUACUGCCUGGAUUCUCCUCUCCCAGGUUGAUGUAUCUGAAGAAAAACUGGACUCGCACAGAUACGUAAUUGGAAAAGGAAGAGCAUUUUAAUAGCCUUUUCAGAUAAGGUGGAUAUCCUUCUUUGAUGCCACCAAACUCAACAAGUGUUUGAUCUUCUUGAAAGGAUGAAGCAACCAGAUGCAGACUUCACUGAUUGGAACAAUAGCCUCAUGCUCAGUUUUAUCACCCACAUUUCAUACUAGUAUCCCUGUCUGGAAACUAUGAGGGUUGUUAUUACUCAUCUUUACAGAAAAAGCCUCUAUAAGAUCUUCACCAGCUUGGAAAUCCUUGCUACAAGAAAAAAAAAAAAUCCCCAGAGCAAAUAACUGCCUGUAACAAAUAAAUGAUUUGUGAAAAAACUGUCAUUGGAAAGGUGAAUCAUUCUUUCUUCCAUAUAUAGAGAUUAUCAAGGACUGUGCAGUCAAAAAACUGACUAAAGUAAACUAAAUGAGAUGCCUCUUCGGCUCAGGUC